GUAUCUGAAAUUCCCUAUUCUCUCCUAGACCUAAACACUUCGACUGCUGUCGUGCUUGAUCUGGUAGAGGAGACAUCUGCUGCUGGAACUUGGAUGGGUUUAGGGAAUAUGUACCCCUCCUGAGUGCUGCGUCCCCUGAUGCUGCAGAAAGAUACAAGGUCUUUCCUGUCUGUAAAAAACAGUUCUCUCCUGCCUGUGUUUUGAACUGGGAAGAGGACAGCUGCCUAAAGAUGACAUCAUUCUUUAGUCUUCCAAGGAAAGUGGUGUGGAGAUCCAUCAAAGAGCUGGCAGGGAUUAAAGGCCCAUUAUUUCCUGGGAUUGUUUGUACACGACCAAGUCAGAUGUGCAGUUGCCCUGUUAUGACUAACUAGAAAUGAAGGAACAGUAAACUCCCAAAAAUUGUCAAUUUGAAGAGACAGCACUAGAUAAUCCCUGUGAUUAAAACAUGUAUCUACUGAUGAAGAACCCUUGAGGCCUUAGAACACUGGUAAAUUAAAAGACCUCUAGUCUACCCCUAUGAACUUUGUAAAUGCAGAAAACAGGUUUUUUUAUAUGUCUUGUUUUGGUUUUUUUUUUCCCCAGGGACUAUAAAUUGUGCAAAAAGAAAAACAUGCUUACUUAGUAUAUUGCAAUCCAUUUGGGGCCUCUAUAUUGUACAUUGCCUGUUAAAUUAUUUGUUUCAUUAGACUAAACAGUACAGCAAGCCAGGAGUAGAUUACAGUAAUAUUUUGGUUUGUCUGUGUGUGUUGUUUUAUGUGUAUCACUGAAAAGUAUUACAAAUACUAAAAUGUAGAGUUUGGUUUGUUUGGAUUUUUUUUUCCCCAGACUAUUUUCCCUCACUGAGUUAUAAUAUGAAAUGUUUUUCCUUGGAGAUUUUUCCUAAAAUUUGUUAAUCUGGUUUUUUUAGCCUAAUACUUUUAAAAUUUAGUAGUUCUAAUAAAGUGUGGAGUGUCAUUACUUUGCAGUAUACCCACAUCUGUGCCACAUUUUUUUCUUGCUCCCAUUUAAAGCAUGGAAGGGAAAAUUCUGUUCCUGGUUAUGCAGGUGUAACCCUUCUUACAAGAUCCAGCUGAAAGGAAAGAACUGAUUAGUUAACCUUCCGUUUCUUUUAUCAGUUUGUCAAUUUUUCAUAAGCAAGCAUACCCUAAAAGCUUCUGUUCAUUUUACC